AGAUGUUUUGGGACUUCAACUCCCAUCAUCCCUAGCUAACAGGACCAGUGGUCAGGGAUGAUGGGAGUUGAAGUCCCAAAACAUCU